CCAUGGCAGGGUAAUUGGGACAUCUGAGAAGAGGGGAGGGGGGCAGUUGGAGGGUAUCAAUAGUUACUUCCCUCCCCCCCAAAUUCUUCCAGCAAAUGCUUUUCUUCACAUGAGAAAGCAGCCAGGGAAUGUCACCCAGAUGUCACCGAAGCUAGGCGGGAUGAGGGAGGAUGUGGGAAAGCAGGGGGUUAAUCCCCCGCCCGCCCCAGGGGCCUCCUCCCCAGCUUGGGGGCCUGGGGGCAGGAAGUCCCAGAGCGUGGAGGAAGGGAGAUAGUAUUGUCAGGCUGCCGUCCCACGGGAGAGAUUAUGGGGGGUGUGGGGGGGAGGCUGCUCAUCUGAUCCCUCCAAACUCGCAUUGCCCUGCCCUCAGGUGAGCCCAGGAGUUUUCGGAAAGGGCCGGCUAGAGACUAAAAUCUCUGGGUCCCCUACACCCCUCUACUUCUGUUCACCCCACCCCCCAACCCCAGGACUAAAUUCCUGGCGAGGUGUCUGGAACUCUCUGGGAAGUCUGAGUCCCACAGGGAGAGAGAGGGCUGUGACCUUGAAGCUUUCCGGCGCCCCCUCCUCCAACCCGACAGCUCCCCAGGGUCGGGAUGAAAGGGGGGGUGGUGAGAAGGGAGAGGCGCAGCGGUGGGAAAAAAAGCCGGCGGCCCACGGCGCUCCCAGCCCGCCCCCCCCACACACACACACCAGCUGUCUCGACAGAUAAAGACUGAGCUGCUCUUCCCUUCAGUUGGCCCCCUCCUCCUCAGAGAUCUCCCCAGAAACUUGUCCAGAGCAACCAUCCAAUCACAAAGCACAGGUGCCCGAAACACACAGGGAAGGAGCAGGGAUCUCAGCAGGGCUUCUGGUUCCAGGCACAGGCAGCCAUCUAUAUCCUCAGGUUCUGCGUCUGAGAAUCCAAUGAAGUAAUGAUGGGAAGCCUGUUCAUCUGUGUUUAAGUCUUCUGUGUCGUAUGGUGGAGAGUGGGAGCUUCAACCCGGAUUCUUGUGCAUGGUAAUAUGUGCGUUUAACCAGAUGAGCCACUGCCUGCCCCCGAUUCUAUUUUCUUUUUUUUCCCCCCAUUUUGUUGUCGUAGCCUUGUUGUGGUUAUUAUUGUUGUUGAUAAUGUCGUUCGUUGUUGGAUAGGACAGAGAGAAAUGGAGAGAGGAGGGGAAGACAGAGAGGGGGGAGAGAAAGAUAGACACCUGCAGACCUGCUUCACCGCCUGUGAAGCGACUCCCCUGAAGGUGGGGGGCUAGGGCUCCAACCAGGAUCCCUACUCUGGUUCUUGUGCUUUGCACCACCUGCGCUUAACCUGCUGCGCUACCGCCUGACCCCCCCCCACACACACACACACAUUCUAUUUUCUAAGAGAAAUAUUCCAGUGCACAGGGUCCUCACCUCUCAGCACUCUCCUGAGGCCUGGCGGAGUUGAGAAUAAGCUUCAGAGAUGAUUGUGGCCCUGGGGAGCGAAGGAAAGCCCUCAGGAGGGGGACCCUCCUCCUGCACCCUUCCCCUCACUUCACCCCCUUCACCCUGACUCACUUGCAGUAG